rnacentral:rRNA from 1 species
UGCACCGGAUCCCAUCAGAACUCCGCAGUAAAGCGUGCUUGGGCGAGAGUAGUACUAGGAUGGGUGACCUCCUGGGAAGUCCUCGUGUUGCACCCC